rnacentral:rRNA from 1 species
GUAGGUGGCAAGCGUUGUCCGGAAUUAUUGGGCGUAAAGCGCGCGCAGGCGGUUCUUUAAGUCUGAUGUGAAAGCCCACGGCUCAACCGUGGAGGGUCAUUGGAAACUGGAGAACUUGAGUACAGAAGAGGAAAGCGGAAUUCCACGUGUAGCGGUGAAAUGCGUAGAGACGUGGAGGAACACCAGUGGCGAAGGCGGCUUUCUGGUCUGUAACUGACGCUGAGGCGCGAAAGCGUGGGGAGCAAACAGGGAUUAGAUACCCUGGUAGUCCACGCCGUAAACGAUGAGUGCUAAGUGUUAGGGGGUUUCCCGCCCCUUAGUGCUGCAGCUAACGCAUUAAGCACUCCGCCUGGGGAUACGGCCGCAAGGCUG